AGUGAACGCUGGCGGCAGGCCUAAUACAUGCAAGUCGAACGGCAGCACAGCAGAGCUUGCUCUGUGGGUGGCGAGUGGCGGACGGGUGAGGAAUACGUGGGAAUCUGCCCAGUCGUGGGGAUAACGUAGGGAAACUUACGCUAAUACCGCAUGCGCCCUUCGGGGAAAGCCGGGGACCUUCGGGCCUGGCGCGAUUGGAUGAGCCCACGUCGGAUUAGCUAGUUGGCGGGGUAAAGGCCCACCAAGGCGACGAUCCGUAGCUGGUCUGAGAGGAUGAUCAGCCACACUGGAACUGAGACACGGUCCAGACUCCUACGGGAGGCAGCAGUAGGGAAUAUUGGACAAUGGGCGCAAGCCUGAUCCAGCCAUGCCGCGUGAGUGAAGAAGGCCCUCGGGUUGUAAAGCUCUUUGUCCGGAAAGAAAGCGCCGGGUUAAAACCCUGGUGUCCUGACGGUACCGGAAGAAUAAGCACCGGCUAACUUCGUGCCAGCAGCCGCGGUAAU
rnacentral:rRNA from 1 species